rnacentral:rRNA from 1 species
AUUGAACGCUGGCGGCAUGCUUUACACAUGCAAGUCGAACGGUAACAGGCCGCAAGGUGCUGACGAGUGGCGAACGGGUGAGUAAUGCAUCGGAACGUGCCCAGUCGUGGGGGAUAACUGCUCGAAAGAGCAGCUAAUACCGCAUACGACCUGAGGGUGAAAGCGGGGGACCGUAAGGCCUCGCGCGAUUGGAGCGGGCGAUGUCAGAUUAGCUAGUUGGUGGGGUAAAGGCCUACCAAGGCAACGAUCUGUAGUUGGUCUGAGAGGACGACCAGCCACACUGGGACUGAGACACGGCCCAGACUCCUACGGGAGGCAGCAGUGGGGAAUUUUGGACAAUGGGCGCAAGCCUGAUCCAGCAAUGCCGCGUGCAGGAAGAAGGCCUUCGGGUUGUAAACUGCUUUUGUCAGGGAAGAAAUCUUCUGGGCUAAUACCCCGGGAGGAUGACGGUACCUGAAGAAUAAGCACCGGCUAACUACGUGCCAGCAGCCGCCGUAAUAC